AUUGAACGCUGGCGGCAGGCUUAACACAUGCAAGUCGAGCGGUAACAGAGAGUAGCUUGCUACUCUGCUGACGAGCGGCGGACGGGUGAGUAAUGCCUAGGAAUCUGCCUAGUAGUGGGGGAUAACUUGCCGAAAGGUAAGCUAAUACCGCAUACGUCCUACGGGAGAAAGCAGGGGACCUUCGGGCCUUGCGCUAUUAGAUGAGCCUAGGUCGGAUUAGUUAGUUGGUGAGGUAAUGGCUCACCAAGACCGCGAUCCGUAACUGGUCUGAGAGGAUGAUCAGUCACACUGGAACUGAGACACGGUCCAGACUCCUACGGGAGGCAGCAGUGGGGAAUAUUGGACAAUGGGGGCAACCCUGAUCCAGCCAUGCCGCGUGUGUGAAGAAGGUCUUAGGAUUGUAAAGCACUUUAAGUUGGGAGGAAGAGCAGUUAACUAAUACUUGACUGUUUUGACGUUACCGACAGAAUAAGCACCGGCUAACUUCGUGCC
rnacentral:rRNA from 1 species